rnacentral:rRNA from 1 species
AACGAACGCUGGCGGCGUGCCUAACACAUGCAAGUCGAGCGCGAAAAGGGCAACCUGAGUAGAGCGGCGCACGGGUGCGUAACACGUGGGUAAUCUGCCUUAGAGUCGAGGAUAACCUUCCGAAAGGUUGGCUAAUACUCGGUAAGCUUACGGUGUCUUCGGACGCUGUGGGAAAAGUAGGCCUCUGUUUACAAGCUUACGCUCUGAGACGAGCCCGCGGCCCAUCAGCUAGUUGGCGGUGUAACGGACCACCAAGGCAACGACGGGUAGCUGGACGGUGAGGACGAUCAGCCACACUGGAACUAAGACACGGUCCAGACUCCUACGGGGGGCAGCAGUGGGGAAUUUUCCACAAUGGGCGAAAGCCUGAUGGAGCAACGCCGCGUGUGUGAUGAAGGUUUUCGGAUCGUAAAGCACUUUCGACUGGGACGAAAAACCUUUGGCUAACAUCCAGGGGCCUGACGGUACCAGGAGAAGAAGCACCGGCUAACUCUGUGCCAGCAGCCGCCGUAA